rnacentral:lncRNA from 1 species
AAAGACAAAUCCUUGAAGGGGUCCCAUACGUCGAGCGAGAAAGGGUCGAAAACAUUGCUCCUUCGACCACCGAAGAAACUUGGUAUCAGUGACAUCUUCCCUUCUUUACUUUACUUGGUUGGUGUUUUGAACUCUGCUAAAUUUUGUCGUGUGAAUUGAUAGAAAAAAAAUGUUGAUUUUCUUGUUUGUUUUGUUUGUUGCUGUCUGAAGGGACGCACGAGGUAUUUAAAUCAAACCAAGGGUCAAUCUCGAAUGUUCCAGAAAUAGUUCGUUGGUUUGCUAAGUUUCUUUCAAAAAAUUCCAAAACCUUCUGGACUUGUCUGCAC